ensembl:lncRNA
GAGCUAGUUUGGGAGUUAAAGAGAGGUUUGAAGAUGGCAGAAGGAGCCUCAAGGAGUAAAGGUACCUCUCUGCAGAAGUUGGAAAAGGUGAAGAAACAAUUCCUGAAGCCCCCAGAAGGUUGACAGCCCUACCCACAUGUUGAUUGUAUCCCAGUGAUAUUUUGGACUUCCAACUUCCAAAACGGUACUUUAUAUUUGGAGAAGGCAUGGAGAAUCCCAGGGACAGAGGAGCCUAAUGGGCUGCCGUCUAUGGGGUCGUACAGAGUCGGACACGACUGAAGCGAUUUAGCCCCAGUAGCAGCAGGUCUCCGUGUUCUCAACUGUGAAGCAGAGGGAGUGGUUCUCUAAGCCACUUCCUGCGCUGCCCGCUCCACCCCAUGGCUGCCUGUGCGUAUCUGAAGCCACUGUGCUUGUUUCUGCAUCUCAUGCUGAUGUUUUAAUGUGUCCAUGGGCUCCCACAGAGGGACACCAGGCCUGCUUCCUCCAUCCCCUUGAGCUGUUGCUACUCGCCUGGAUUCCCAGCUCAGCAGAGACCAGUCAAACUGCAUUCUGGGGAAGUUAGGAAGGAGUCCACCCUGGAAGGUGGCACGGCCCCCUGGUGGCUGUGAAGGAGGCAACCACAGGUG